rnacentral:rRNA from 1 species
GACGAACGCUGGCGGCGUGCUUAACACAUGCAAGUCGAACGGAAAGGCCCUGCUUUUGUGGGGUGCUCGAGUGGCGAACGGGUGAGUAACACGUGUGUAACCUGCCCUUGUCUUUGGGAUAACUUCAGGAAACUGGGGCUAAUACCGGAUAGGAGCUCCUGCUGCAUGGUGGGGGUUGGAGAGUGUCGGCGGUGGGGGAUGGACUCGCGGCUUAUCCGCUUGUUUGUGGGGUAGGGGCUUACAAAGGCUAUGACGGGUAGCCGGCCUGAGAGGGUGACCGGCGACAUGGGUACUGAGAUACGGCCCAGACUGCUACGGGAGGCAGUAGGGGGGAAUAUUGCACAACGGGGGGAAGCCUGAUGCAGCAACGCCGCGUGCGGGAUGCCGGCCUUCGGGUUGUAAACCGCUUUCGCCUGUGACGAAGCGUGAGUGACGGUAAUGGGUAAAGAAGCCCCGGCUAACUACGUG